GUUUUGUGCUCAUAGGCUUCCCUUGCCCGGCGACCUUUCACAGCUUUCCAGAGAAUCACCGUAAAGAGGCGGGAACCACCUCUGUGCCUUGAUAUCCGGUUCCCAAACCAGAUCUAAUCCACCCACUGAAGCACAGGCAGGAGCUGUGGGUGGUGAAGAGAAGCCUCUCCCAAAGUGCCUGUCCAGGCUCCAGAGAGAUCCCUCUCCCUUCCACCAUAU